GACGAACGCUGGCGGCGUGCUUAACACAUGCAAGUCGAGGGGUCUCCGCAAAGGGGGCGACCGCGAACGGGUGCGUAACACGUGAGCGACCUGCCGUCCCUGUGGGGGAUAGCCGGCCCAACGGCCGGGUAAUACCGCAUACGCUCUGGCCCGGGCAUCUGGGCGAGAAGAAAGCUGGGGCAACCUGGCGCAGGACGAGGGCUCGCGGCCUAUCAGCUGGUUGGCGGGGUAACGGCCCACCAAGGCGACGACGGGUAGCUGGUCUGAGAGGAUGG
rnacentral:rRNA from 1 species